rnacentral:rRNA from 1 species
UGGGGAGUAUUGGGCAAUGGGCGCAAGCCUGAUCCAGCAACGCCGCGUGAAGGAAGAAGGCUUUCGGGUUGUAAACUUCUUUUCUCAGGGACGAAGAAAGUGACGGUACCUGAGGAAUAAGCCACGGCUAACUACGUGCCAGCAGCCGCGGUAAUACGUAGGUGGCAAGCGUUAUCCGGAUUUACUGGGUGUAAAGGGCGUGUAGGCGGGACUGCAAGUCAGAUGUGAAAACCAUGGGCUCAACCUGUGGCCUGCAUUUGAAACUGUAGUUCUUGAGUACUGGAGAGGCAGACGGAAUUCCUAGUGUAGCGGUGAAAUGCGUAGAUAUUAGGAGGAACACCAGUGGCGAAGGCGGUCUGCUGGACAGCAACUGACGCUGAGGCGCGAAAGCGUGGGGAGCAAACAGG